rnacentral:lncRNA from 1 species
GGUUGGAAAGUGAAGAUAAUUUUUCUUUUAACUGGCUCCUUGAGAAAAUGCUUUGUUCUAUAUAUUAUUAGCCUUCUGUCUGCAAAACAGCAGAUUGGAUCACUCUGUUCCUCAUUGUUCCAAACACUCUGAUUGCCCUGCAGAUGCCAGCUGAUCAAUGCCCAAGCUGAACCUCUCACCAGACUAGAUUUUGACAGAGACUGUGCCACCAAGCAGGGGCUUGAGUGGGAGUCAGACUCCUCAAUGCCCCCCACAACGUACGGAUUUGAACAAGCACAGAGUUACCUGACUUGCAAGAACAGAUAUAGGAUUUUGCAGUUGCAAUAGGUACGUGCACAUAUUUUGCUGAUCUACCCCUAAUGCUGAGGUUUGAAUAUUUGAACCUGAAACUCACUUUAGACAAAAUCCUCUAAAAAAUAGCAAUGGGUGAACCU